UGCCAAGGUCCCCUUUUC
rnacentral:misc_RNA from 1 species